rnacentral:rRNA from 1 species
GGCAGCAGCUAUAUCACCCUGCAACCCCCUGAAGCUGAGCAGAUGUGAGCCUGGCCAGUACCUGAAUGGGAGACCUCCUGGGAAAAACUAAGGUUGCUGCUGGAA